rnacentral:rRNA from 1 species
GGGAGAGGAGCGCGGCGAAGCGAGAGAGGGUGUGGACGGGCACAACAGUAGCGGUAUCGGAGGAGGCAGGCACACCGGUAGCGGGUGGAGCAGCUAAGUCCGGGAGCGGACCUCGACGCAGACGAAACAGAAGUAGCUGAGGCUCCUCAUCAAGCUCGUCCAGUAGCGGUGUUGUGGCCCUAGCUGGCGAAGAAGUGCGAAGCCAGCAGCCUCGAGGGCAGCUUAAGUGCAUACAGACGACGAUGAUUCGACGGUUGCCCUGGGUCACGCGGGGGAUCCA